rnacentral:rRNA from 1 species
GGACUUCGGUCUGGUGGCGACCGGCGCACGGGUGCGUAACGCGUAUGCAACCUGCCUUAUACAGGAGGAUAGCCCAUGGAAACGUGGAUUAAUACUCCAUAGUAUUAUGAUUCUGCAUAGAGACAUAAUUAAAACUUCGGUGGUAUAAGAUGGGCAUGCGUAGGAUUAGCUGGUUGGUGAGGUAACGGCUCACCAAGGCAACGAUCCUUAGGGGUUCUGAGAGGAUUAUCCCCCACACUGGUACUGAGACACGGACCAGACUCCUACGGGAGGCAGCAGUGAGGAAUAUUGGUCAAUGGGCGCGAGCCUGAACCAGCCAUCCCGCGUGCAGGAUGACGGCCCUAUGGGUUGUAAACUGCUUUUCUACGCCAAGAACUCCCCCGACGAGUCGGGGGUUGCCGGUAGCGUAGGAAUAAGCAUCGGCUAACUCCGUGCCAGCAGCCGCGGUAAUACGGAGGAUGCAAGCGUUAUCCGGAUUCAUUGGGUUUAAAGGGUGCGCAGGUGGGCUUUUAAGUCAGUGGUGAAAUACUGCCGCUUAACGGUAGAAUUGCCAUUGAUACUGAGAGUCUUGAGUAUGGUUGAGGUAGGCGGAAUGUGUUGUGUAGCGGUGAAAUGCAUAGAUAUGACACAGAACGCCGAUUGCGAAGGCAGCUUACUAAGCCAUUACUGACGCUGAGGCACGAAAGCGUGGGGAGCGAACAGGAUUAGAUACCCUGGUAGUCCACGCUGUAAACGAUGUUCACUCGCUGUUUGCGAUACACAGUAAGCGGCUGAGCGAAAGCAUUAAGUGAACCACCUGGGGAGUACGAUCGCAAGGUUGAAACUCAAAGGAAUUGACGGGGGCCCGCACAAGCGGAGGAACAUGUGGUUUAAUUCGAUGAUACGCGAGGAACCUUACCUGGGCUUAAAUGUAGAUUGCAUUUCCGAGAAAUCGGGAUUCCCUUCGGGG